UUACAGGUCUUCUUAAAGACCAUAUUUUUUAAAUAUGGAAGAGUGU
rfam:Ovis aries breed Texel chromosome 8, whole genome shotgun sequence.